rnacentral:rRNA from 1 species
GUGCAUGGCAGACGGGUGAGUAACGCGUAGGGAAUCUACCUUUUUGUGGGGAAUAACGCUCCGAAAGGAGUGGUAAUACCGCAUGAGACCGCAGACUGGGAUGUUUGUGGUGAAACCUGGGGAUCGCAAGGCCUGGGGCAAGAAGAGGAUCCUGCGUCUGAUUAGCUAGUUGGCGGGGUAAUGGCCCACCAAGGCGACGAUCAGUAGCCGGCCUGAGAGGGUGAUCGGCCACACUGGAACUGAGACACGGUCCAGACUCCUACGGGAGGCAGCAGUGGGGAAUUUUGCGCAAUGGACGAGAGUCUGACGCAGCAACGCCGCGUGGGUGAUGAAGGUCUUCGGACUGUAAAACCCUGUCGUCAGGGACGAAGGUAUGGGAGUUAAUAGCUCUUAUGCUUGACGGUACCUGGAGAGGAAGCCCCGGCUAACUCUGUGCCAGCAGCCGCGGUAAUACAGAGGGGGCAAGCGUUAUUCGGAAUUAUUGGGCGUAAAGGGCGCGUAGGCGGUUUUUUAAGUCAGAUGUGUAAUCCCCGAGCUCAACUUGGGAACUGCAUCUGAGACUGGAAGGCUAGAGUACUGGAGAGGGUGGUGGAAUUCCUCGUGUAGCGGUGAAAUGCGUAGAGAUGAGGAGGAACACCAGUGGCGAAGGCGGCCACCUGGACAGUAACUGACGCUGAGGCGCGAAAGUGUGGGUAGC